UUUUGGAUCGUCUGUGUUACGCGUCCUGCUCACUCUCCUCUUCUUCGUCGGUUAUGUGUAAUGCACGCGGAUUUGUGUAUUUAUCAUUUGAAGUUAACCCAUUUGUAUAACUUUAAUUAAAGUUGGAGCCUGCUGAGGCCCACGCAUACUUCAUCGUUUGUGGCCCAUUGUUUUAUUUGGGUUCUUAGUUCUUUUUAUUUUUUUUAUAUUUUUUUUUCUUCGUUCUUCUUCGCCGUCGACUAUGGUGGCCUCUUCACAUACAAAACAAAAACGUCUCACAACUCCUAUAAUCCAGCAUUAAUUCUGAGAUUUUCCCCUGUGUAAUCAACUCCUUUCUUUAAGAUUGCUAUCAGCCUCUUCGUUUCCACUGAAACCGCCUGGAUCUCCAACUAUAAAUAUCAGACUUUCUACCAUGCGCAGUCGAUCUCACACUAUAUUUGAAAACAAGGAAAUUUCGAUCAAACGAUUCCGAUGGCGAAUUCACACACUGUUCUUGCUAAUCUGAGAGCCGUCUGCUGAGGUUCUGGGAGGCCAAAAACAUCACCAAAGGGGGAAAACUGAUCAGCCUCGAGAUAUUAUUGAUUGAUGAACAAGUGAGUCACUUUUUCCCUAAUAUUAUUCUCCUUUAAUUUUCCCUUUUUUUCCCUGUCUCAAUCCUUUUGUAAUUACAUAUAGUUGUCUUUCCUAAUUAGAUUCCUCAUUUUUUUCCAUUUCUAUCUCUUUACAUUUAUGAAACCUCGCACUCCUUAGUAUUAGCUUCCCCUUUCGUCCCGUUUGAAUCUCAUUGUCAGUAUUUAUUUUUACCAUUUGUUCAUCUGAACAGUCUAUUUGUUUCCUCAUUUUCUGAUUUUUUUCAGUUGUUCAUCUCAACAGUCUACACUGGUUCAAGGGUCAGUUCCUGCAUUCUCAGACUUUGCAACUGUUUUGUUUUGGGAUCUGAGUUCUCCAUGAUCUGAGUUCUCAGACUUUGAAACUGUAUUAAUUUUCUUAGUCUUGGAUCAUCUCCCCAAAAAAAAAGAGUUCUUACUUUUACCUGUCUUGAGUAGGCUUUGUGAAAUGUGAUUUGGUUCUAGCAGGAAUGUGAUCGUGUGUGUAACAGGAGUAUGUUUGAGGACUUGAUGUUUCUAUGAGAAGUUUUCAAUGUAGAUAACAAAUCGCAAUGUUGGAUUUGUGCUACCAAUGGCUUACAGAGAUAGCAGCUCCAUCGGAUAUCAUCUGCAAGGCAACAGGUGGAAAAGAAGAAGUGAGAUACAUAUUUUUGAUAAGGCUAUAUCGAGUUCGAAGAGUCAUCCUGUUUUUCCACAAAAUGGAGAAAGACAUACUAAUCAAUUACCUUUUCACAAGAAUCGUCAAGCUUAUAUUCGUCAAGCUCUAUUGCACUCACACCGCUAAUUGUAUCUUCUAUUACUUUGCGACCACGCUACCUGCUUCUCAAGAAGGGUACACUUGGAUUGGAAGCUUGAAACUGAGAGAUUCAGUUUAGAGAGAUCGAUCUCUAGACCUGUCCACCACUUCUAUGUACUUUUCUGUUGUCACUAUGGCAACUGUUGGAUCACAUCAUCACAAACAUAUUCAGAAGAAACGUGCGGAAUCUCCAACCACUCGGAAAGCUGCCAUAUCAAUGACAUGAAGAAUCACUGCAAGCUACGCUUUCACUUCAAGAAUAUGAAGAAAUUCACAUCCUUCCCUUGACUUAGAGACUCGGUUAACGGCUCGAGACUAACUGCAACCACAAUAUGAAUCAACGUAUCCGUUAACUUUACACAUUAGAAUCGUCAACUAUGUUUUCUACUUUAUCCUAUUAAAUA